rnacentral:misc_RNA from 1 species
UCCGGCUUAUCACCGGCAGUCCCACUAGAGUGCCCAACUAAAUGCUGGCAACUAGUGGCGAGGGUUGCGCUCGUUGCGGGACUUAACCCAACAUCUCACGACACGAGCUGACGACAGCCAUGCAGCACCUGUGCACGGGCUCCGAAGAGGGCUCACUGUUUCCAGCAAGUUUCCCGUGCAUGUCAAGCCUAGGUAAGGUUCUGCGCGUUGCGUCGAAUUAAACCACAUGCUCCACCGCUUGUGCGGGCCCCCGUCAAUUCCUUUGAGUUUCAGCCUUGCGGCCGUACUCCCCAGGCGGGGCACUUCAUGCGUUAGCGCCGGUACCCCGGGGGUCGCUCCCCAGAGCACCUAGUGCCCAUCGUUUACGGCGUGGACUAC